rnacentral:ncRNA from 2 species
UCUUUGUGCCACACUUAAGGUUGCAUUGCGCUGUCGCCGUAAUGCAUUAAAAGGGAAUCGGGUAUAAAAAGCCCGGGCUGUUCCCGCAACUGUAAGCUUAUCCCGCAAGGGAGGCUGUUGUUAACUGCAAACCACUGUUUUUAUAAACGGGAAGGUAAACAACAGCACGCAAGCCAGGAGACCUGCCUUAACU